GUUGACGGGCCCGCACAGGCAGCGGAGCGUGUUGGUUUAAUUCGUUGCUACACGAAGAACCUUUACCUGGGUUUGACAUAAUGGUGGUAGGGAUCCGAAAGGUGACCGACCUUCGGGGAGCCAUUUACAGGUGUUGCAUGGCUGUCGUCAGCUCGUGUCGUGAGAUGUUCGGUUAAGUCCGCUAACGAGCGCAACCCUCGCUGUGUGUUAUAUGUGUCACACAGGACUGCUGGUAUUAAGCCGGAGGAAGGUGGGACGACGUCAAGUCAGCAUGACCUUUAUAUCCAGGGCUACACACACGCUACAAUGGUCAGUACAAUGGGUUGCCAAGCCGCGAGGCGGAGCCAAUCCUAAAAAGCUGGCCUCAGUUCAGAUUGCAGUCUGAAACUUGACUGCAUGAAGUCGGAGUUGCUAGUAAACGCAGGUCAGCUAUACUGCGUUGAAUACGUUCCCGGGGCUU
rnacentral:rRNA from 1 species